CCACUUUGGACAGGACAUUUUGGAGAAGGAGGUGCCCUCACUGGCUUUGACUUCCCUGGUCCCUGAGCAGAGGACAAGCUCCAUUCCUUCAAGAUGCUGAUGAAGUACAGGAGAAAAGACUCGGAGGCCCCUCCAGAACUUUCAGAGAAGGUCAAGGAGCAGCUGGCCGAGGCAGAGCUCUGCAAGCUCAGGCAGCAGCUCCGGAAGAUGGUGGAGAGCCAGAAGUCCUUCAACUUCCUCAGCCAGCAGAAGAUUACCAGCCAGUGGUGAGGGACAGCGAGGGUUUGCACCAAGGGCCCUGGGGGACAGGUGGGGUUCACUCUCAUGGCCCCUACCUUCUCCCUGGUGGCUGCUGGGGCAGGGAUCCCCUUCUGAG
rnacentral:lncRNA from 1 species